AGUGAUAAUGAUAUAGCCAACCUUCUACUGCAUAAGAGUCUGCACUCCAAUGGGGCAGAUGCUUGCAGUGCCUUUGACAACCUUGGUAAAGGGACUGCCAAUCUUGCUAGCCUGCUCAUUGCUGGCAAAACCAAGGAAGCUAUUGAACAGGCUAUGAGUCAAGGUGCGUGGCACCAUGCCUUGAUCUUAAACAUCUUAGAAAGACAUGGCCCAUCUGACUGCAUAAUGUCCAGGUUUGUUAAUAAUCUGGAUGAUUCAGAUUUAAUGAAGACCUACUAUCAGGUCAGGCUGGGAGAAAUGCCUUCAGCUGCAUUUGCUUGUGGUGAGGACAGCUGCCAAAACUGGCAUCUGCACCUUGCCAUUGUGGUACAGUUGUCCAAAAGCAACCAUCUUUGAAAGACGUCUGUUACAAAGAUGGCAGAAACCUUGGCAUCUAAAGGACAUAAGCACGGCGCACAGUUCUGCCAGAUGGUGCUGCAACUAGACCGGGAGCACCUCCUGGAGCACUCACUGUAU